AGGAUUUUCAAAUCAUUGUAUUUUGUUUUUAUUUACAUUUUACUCAAUUUCCCAACUUCAACCAAAUCCGGUUUGUAGAUGAGCUAUUGCCACCCAUAAGAACAAGGUUUUGCAAUCAUGGUCCUCAAGGGGUAGUUUCCUGUCUUUUUAUGUCUCCCACGCUGCAAUACACCUGAUUCAAAUGAUCAUAAUCAAGUAUCUGCAUACCUUGAUGAUUAUCGGAUCAUUUGAAUCUGGUGUGUUGCAGCAGGAAGACAUAAAACAUCCAGGAAACUGGCCAACUUUUGUAUCCUGUAUUUUGUAUCCUAUUAUUACAUACAUAUGACUCAACCCAUUUGUUUUAUUCAUCUGCUAAUCCUGUUCUGAUCAAUAUUAAAUUGGCGAUCUGGUGAUCCUGAGCUGAGAGACUCAGGCUGGACCGUCUCUCAGCUCAGGAUCACCAGGAUAGCUGACCAAAUAAUUAGAGCUGGCAAACCUGCAUUCACUUUUAAAAUGGUAAAAGAA